GUUGUGUAGGUGGCGGAACCUCGGAGGAGGCAAGUAGUUCAGAACCACCAAAAGAAACUUCUAAGGAAAAGAAAGGUUCAAUCACCCUUGAGGCCCCUAAUUUUAAUAUUGAUACGGGUGUCAUGAGUACCACAGAGGUAACAUUAAACAGAGAAAGGAUUGAAUGACAACAAUCCAAAUUACAGAGAUAUAUUCAGUUAAAAAUACAGCUUUAAAAUAAAUAAACAAAAUUAAAUUGUGUAAACUAUUAGUAAACCAAACCAUAUAUUUCAC